AUGAACGCUAGCUACAGGCUUAACACAUGCCAGUCGAGGGGCAGCAUGGUCUUAGCUUGCUAAGGCCGAUGGCGACCGGCGCACGGGUGAGUAACACGUAUCCAACCUGCCGUCUACUCUUGGACAGCCUUCUGAAAGGAAGAUUAAUACAAGAUGGCAUCAUGAGUCCGCAUGUUCACAUGAUUAAAGGUAUUCCGGUAGACGAUGGGGAUGCGUUCCAUUAGAUAGUAGGCGGGGUAACGGCCCACCUAGUCUUCGAUGGAUAGGGGUUCUGAGAGGAAGGUCCCCCACAUUGGAACUGAGACACGGUCCAAACUCCUACGGGAGGCAGCAGUGAGGAAUAUUGGUCAAUGGGCGAGAGCCUGAACCAGCCAAGUAGCGUGAAGGAUGACUGCCCUAUGGGUUGUAAACUUCUUUUAUAAAGGAAUAAAGUCGGGUAGGGAUACCCGUUUGCAUGUACUUUAUGAAUAAGGAUCGGCUAACUCCGUG
rnacentral:rRNA from 1 species